UAGAUCAGAAACUAGGGUUUCAUCAAGUAGAGAAGUAGAGGUCCCUCUAGAUCUUCUAGUUCUAGUUCUUCUAGUUUUAGUUAUAGUUCAUCUAGUUGUAAACUAGAAGAGGGAGAGAGAAGAGGAGAGAGCCGAGGAGGAGCCGGGUCUAUCGGAUCUCCCUCAACAUUGUAUAUUUAGAGCAGCCCAGUUCGUCUUUGGCUAAUCUCAAGGUACUUCAAUUCUAUAAUUUCUGAGUUUUUAUUUAAUCCCCAUAUUUACCUUCAAGUUAUUUAUUAGAGUCUCACUUGCAUCAAGUGCUCUAGUUCUUAGCGGCGCUAGAGUAGUAAUUAAUAGGUUAAGUGUGGUGCUUAGUCUUUCAAUUACCUAAAAUUGCACCCAACCCAGCGUAUUGUUGUUGUAGCCUCAGGAUCGUGACAGUUUUGAAAGCCGACGUAUUCCACCAUGUUUGGAUUGGUGUUGUAGGACCGUAGUUAGAGCUUCCUAGCCCCUAUCUCAUCUCUUUCUGUGGUUAGUAUUCAAAUGUCCCAAGAUAAGUAACCUUAGAGUAAAUCCUGAUUCCUAGAUCAACCUAUAUAACUCUUAGGAAGAUUCCUUUCAACCCUACAAAAAUUAUAUAUAGUUAUCCUUGGGCGAUCUAAAUCUCAACCAGUACACUUCACGUUCCCCGUGGAAAAUCGAUACCUUAGAAUACUCGGUAUCUGUGUACUUGCGGAUUUUUCUAUGUGCGUUUAAAAUACCCAACACCAGCCUUGAAGCAAUGCGUGGACGCCGGCGUUGGUGGAGAAGGAGUGCCGGAGGUAGUAAGAUACUACAGAUGGUAGUUUUGUAAAAUUUUAUCCUAAUCAACGUCCUCUAAAGGAGUAUGGACCUUUGGUGCAUGACUAAACAAGUUCAGAGAGAUAAAUUUCAAGUUUGUAUUCUUCUGGCUUUGGCCACCGUAGCCCCCGUACCCCACAUUAGAGGGAGGAAGCAGCUGCACCUGCUGACCUGCAUCGCAAUUAUUUGGCCGGCCGGCCGGCCGGAUGGACGCAUUCGGUUCGCCGGGCAACUUGGAUGGCUAGAGCGGUUGGAGAUAGACAGAUAGAUAGGAUAGAUGCCGAUGCUUCAGGAGCCAUGCAUACUUAGGCGUAGUUGUCGCAGGUGGCCGGCCGGCCGCCGCCCGGUGUAGCUAGAUGCCCAGAUGGGAUGCCGGCGGAACCGUCAACAAAGCUGGAACGGGAAUCAGUUAGACACACUGCACCACACGGUAUCACCCACCGAUUCCCUUCUAUCUUUCCAUUCCAUCUCACUCUGACUCGAUCGAUCAGUCUCUUGCGUUUUGCUUUCCCCUCAACGCAUAUAUUUGGUGCCUCAGCAACGCACGGCUCUUAUCUAGAUGAUGAGGAAGAAUAUGAAUCCCCACUACAUAUCUAUGAAGAAUCGCCGCCGGCCGGUUCAAUAUUCUCAUGGUCAUUGUUGCUGUAUUCCACACGAGCCAGCCUUGAUCAUGUAAUCAUAUAUAUAUUCAUCCAUUCAUAGAUAUAUGCAUGCCUGCUAAAUUCAAGCUAAGAUUGCAACGGAUAAGGCGAGAGAACUAAGAAAAAUUUGUUUUUUUACUGCAAAGUUGGAGCGCGUUUCAGUAUUUGUGACGGCCACGGAUCGCCUGACGAUCGAGAAGAUCGAUCGAGAACUCCUCGCAGGUCCCCCCACCGCCGUCACGAAUUUGUCCUCCCGGUGUUUUUUCCCCUUCUUUCCCAUCGACGUCGAAUCUUUCUCCAGUGACUGAAUGGCUAACGCAAAAGAACACAUGACAAGGCUCUAAACGUUACUCAUACUUUACAAGUUCAGAUAAAACACAGUCAAUAUAUAUUUCAUAUAGACUUAUUUACUAGUCUACUUGUCAUGUCAGAUAGAGUAAACAAUCAACCCACACUAUAUAUGCUCAAUAUAUCCACCCUUAUCACAAAUCUAAUUAUAUAAGUGAUAAGGACACUCUAACUAAUCAGUCAGCAUUGAGUGUAAAGUGUAAACCAUCAAGUAAUAGCAUGCAUGCGCAUCCACAAAAAUGGUGAAUGCACGAGUCUGUUGCAAAGUUACACCUCUCAACGCCAGUGAUAAAACAAGGAUCGCUUACACAGAGUCGUGCCAAGAAGCUAUAACACAUGACUUCACUCCUCAUUGAAACUAACUUUAAUGUAACCGAAAACAAUAAUUAUAUUAUACUCUCCCUAAUUAAUAUGCACUAUUGUUGCUCAGGUUUGCAUAUGAGGAGUUCGAUGAGAAUGGUUAUGCUAUGCUGAACAUGAGGAAGAUUAUAUGGACGAGACGACAUCAACCAUAUUGCAAGUGGAGGAAAUGCUCCGAACACAGUUUUUCAGUCCAUACAUGCUGGGCAUUUGUUAUCUGGACCGUCCACAUGUAUCGAGAUAUAUGUCAUCCAAAACAGUAGUGUUUCACGUUAGAUAGUGUGCACAACAUGAAUUUCAAAGCACUCUUGGACGAUGCAGAUAACACGUACUAAGUAUGUACAUGCUAUGAUAUAUCACAACUUACGCAGCAAGAGCUGCAACUUCAUGUAAUAGGUUGUGCAGCAACCUGUAAAAUUUUGGACGGCAUGAUAUAGAUAUGGUUGGG
rnacentral:lncRNA from 1 species